rnacentral:lncRNA from 1 species
AAGCAAGCAGCUCCAGCUUCUCCAGGCUGCUGUCUGGCCGUUAGAGCCAGCCAGUCACCUAGCUGCUUUUAUACUGCAUACCUGUGUCUGAGUACUCAUUUCAUCCAUUGGCCAAGGCCUGUGGGACAGACCUGGCAAGAGCCCAGCCAAGAUGAACCAACUUGCCUACACAACCACCCCCGCACUACUUCUUCCUGCUGCCAUGUGAAGAAAGACCUGUUUGCUUCCCCUUUCAUCAUGAUUGUAAGUUUCCUGAGGCC